AUUGAACGCUGGCGGCAUGCCUUACACAUGCAAGUCGAACGGUAACGGGCCUUCGGGUGCCGACGAGUGGCGAACGGGUGAGUAAUGUAUCGGAACGUACCUUUCAGUGGGGGAUAACGUAGCGAAAGUUACGCUAAUACCGCAUAUUCUGUGAGCAGGAAAGCAGGGGAUCGCAAGACCUUGCGCUGAUUGAGCGGCCGAUAUCAGAUUAGCUAGUUGGUGAGGUAAAGGCUCACCAAGGCGACGAUCUGUAGCGGGUCUGAGAGGAUGAUCCGCCACACUGGAGCUGAGACACGGUCCAGACUCCUACGGGAGGCAGCAGUGGGGAAUUUUGGACAAUGGGGGCAACCCUGAUCCAGCCAUGCCGCGUGAGUGAAGAAGGCCUUCGGGUUGUAAAGCUCUUUCGGCCGGGAAGAAAUCGCAUCAGCUAAUACCUGGUGCGGAUGACGGUACCGGCAUAAGAAGCACCGGCUAACUACGUGCCAGCCGCCGCCGUAAAAC
rnacentral:rRNA from 1 species